rnacentral:rRNA from 1 species
GAGGAAUAUUGGACAAUGGGCGCAAGCCUGAUCCAGCCAUGCCGCGUGCAGGAAGACGCAUCUAUGGUGUGUAAACUGCUUUUGUACGGGAAGAAACACUCCCUCGUGAGGGAGCUUGACGGUACCGUAAGAAUAAGGAUCGGCUAACUCCGUGCCAGCAGCCGCGGUAAUACGGAGGAUCCAAGCGUUAUCCGGAAUCAUUGGGUUUAAAGGGUCCGUAGGCGGUUUAAUAAGUCAGUGGUGAAAGCCCAUCGCUCAACGAUGGAACGGCCAUUGAUACUGUUAGACUUGAAUUACAAGGAAGUAACUAGAAUAUGUAGUGUAGCGGUGAAAUGCUUAGAUAUUACAUGGAAUACCAAUUGCGAAGGCAGGUUACUACUUGUGGAUUGACGCUGAUGGACGAAAGCGUGGGGAGCGAAC